rnacentral:rRNA from 1 species
GACGAACGCUUGCGGCGUGCUUAACACAUGCAAGUCGAACGGAAAGGCCCUGCUUUUGUGGGGUGCUCGAGUGGCGAACGGGUGAGUAACACGUGAGUAACCUGCCCUUGACUUUGGGAUAACUUCAGGAAACUGGGGCUAAUACCGGAUAGGAGCUCCUGCUGCAUGGUGGGGGUUGGAAAGUUUCGGCGGUUGGGGAUGGACUCGCGGCUUAUCAGCUUGUUGGUGGGGUAGUGGCUUACCAAGGCUUUGACGGGUAGCCGGCCUGAGAGGGUGACCGGCCACAUUGGGACUGAGAUACGGCCCGGACUCCUACGGGAGGCAGCAGUGGGGAAUAUUGCACAAUGGGCGGAAGCCUGAUGCAGCAACGCCGCGUGCGGGAUGACGGCCUUCGGGUUGUAAACCGCUUUCGCCUGUGACGAAGCGUGAGUGACGGUAAUGGGUAAAGAAGCACCGGCUAACUACGUGCCAGCAGCCGCGGUGAUACGUAGGGUGCGAGCGUUGUCCGGAUUUAUUGGGCGUAAAGGGCUCGUAGGUGGUUGAUCGCGUCGGAAGUGUAAUCUUGGGGCUUAACCCUGAGCGUGCUUUCGAUACGGGUUGACUUGAGGAAGGUAGGGGAGAAUGGAAUUCCUGGUGGAGCGGUGGAAUGCGCAGAUAUCAGGAGGAACACCAGUGGCGAAGGCGGUUCUCUGGGCCUUUCCUGACGCUGAGGAGCGAAAGCGUGGGGAGCGAACAGGCUUAGAUACCCUGGUAGUCCACGCUGUAAACGGUGGGUACUAGGUGUGGGGUCCAUUCCACGGGUUCCGUGCCGUAGCUAACGCUUUAAGUACCCCGCCUGGGGAGUACGGCCGCAAGGCUAAAACUCAAAGGAAUUGACGGGGCCCCGCACAAGCGGCGGAGCAUGCGGAUUAAUUCGAUGCAACGCGUAGAACCUUACCUGGGUUUGACAUGGAUCGGGAGUGCUCAGAGAUGGGUGUGCCUCUUUUGGGGUCGGUUCACAGGUGGUGCAUGGCUGUCGUCAGCUCGUGUCGUGAGAUGUUGGGUUAAGUCCCGCAACGAGCGCAACCCUUGUUCACUGUUGCCAGCACGUUAUGGUGGGGACUCAGUGGAGACCGCCGGGGUCAACUCGGAGGAAGGUGGGGAUGACGUCAAGUCAUCAUGCCCCUUAUGUCCAGGGCUUCACGCAUGCUACAAUGGCUGGUACAGAGAGUGGCGAGCCUGUGAGGGUGAGCGAAUCUCGGAAAGCCGGUCUCAGUUCGGAUUGGGGUCUGCAACUCGACCUCAUGAAGUCGGAGUCGCUAGUAAUCGCAGAUCAGCAACGCUGCGGUGAAUACGUUCCCGGG